UACGUAGGGUGCAAGCGUUGUCCGGAAUUAUUGGGCGUAAAGAGCUCGUAGGCGGUUUGUCGCGUCGGCUGUGAAAACUCGGGGCUCAACCCCGAGCCUGCAGUCGAUACGGGCAGACUAGAGUACGGAAGAGGCGAGUGGAAUUCCUGGUGUAGCGGUGGAAUGCGCAGAUAUCAGGAGGAACACCAAUAGCGAAGGCAGCUCGCUGGGACGUUACUGACACUGAGGCGCGAAAAGCGUGGGGGAGCGAACAGG
rnacentral:rRNA from 1 species